GACGAACGCUGGCGGCGUGCUUAACACAUGCAAGUCGAACGGAAAGGCCCUGCUUUUGUGGGGUGCUCGAGUGGCGAACGGGUGAGUAACACGUGAGUAACCUGCCCUUGACUUUGGGAUAACUUCAGGAAACUGGGGCUAAUACCGGAUAGGAGCUCCUGCUGCAUGGUGGGGGUUGGAAAGUUUCGGCGGUUGGGGAUGGACUCGCGGCUUAUCAGCUUGUUGGUGGGGUAGUGGCUUACCAAGGCUUUGACGGGUAGCCGGCCUGAGAGGGUGAGCGGCCACAUUGGGACUGAGAUACGGCCCAGACUCCUACGGGGGGCAGCAGUGGGGAAUAUUGCGCAAUGGGCGGAAGCCUGAUGCAGCAACGCCGCGUGCGGGAUGACGGCCUUCGGGUUGUAAACCGCUUUCGCCUGUGACGAAGCGUGAGUGACGGUAAUGGGUAAAGAAGCACCGGCUAACUACGUG
rnacentral:rRNA from 1 species